rnacentral:rRNA from 1 species
UCAAAGAUUAAGCCAUGCAUGUCUCAGUACAAACAAAACAAAAGUGAAACCGCGAAUGGCUCAUUAAAUCAGCUAUGAUUCAUUGGAUCUGUACACCCAUGUUUUCCUUGGAUAACUGUGGUAAUUCUAGAGCUAAUACAUGCCCGUAUAGCCCCCUGACCUGACGGAAAGGGAGCGAUUAUUAGUAUCAAAAACGAUGACAGACUUGAAUGUUAAAUGUCUGUAAAAAAAUCAAUUGGUGACUCUAAAUAAUUUCGAGCUGAGCGCACGGUCUUUGCACUGGUGCCGCUUCUUUCAAGUGUCUGCCUUAUCAGCUCUCGAUUGUAGAUUAUGUGCCUACAAUGGCUAUAACGGGUAACGGGGAAUCAGGGUUCGAUUCCGGAGAGGGAGCCUGAGAAACAGCUACCACAUCCAAGGAAGGCAGCAGGCACGCAAAUUACCCACUCCCGGCAUGGGGAGGUAGUGACGAAAAAUAAUGAUGUGAGACUCAUCCGAGGCCUCGCAAUCAGAAUGAGUACACUUUAAAUCCUUUUGCGAGGAUCCAUUGGAGGGCAAGUCUGGUGCCAGCAGCCGCGGUAAUUCCAGCUCCAAUAGCAUAUAUUAAAGCUGUUGCGGUUAAAAAGCUCAUAGUUGUAUUACAGUUGUGGACUGAUGGUUCUUCACCUUAAUUGGUGUUUACUGUCACGCUCCUAAGCUGCUCAUACAACCAAAAAGUUGUUGGGCUCCACUAGCUCGCACGGGAUGCUCUUAACCGAGUGUCCCCAGUGGCUGGUAUGUUUACUUUGAAAAAAUUAGAGUGCUCAGAGCAGGCUACUUGUAUUGCCUGAAUGACUAUGCAUGGAAUAAUGGAAUAGGACCUCGGUUCUAUUUUGUCGGUUUUCUCUGGAAUCCGAGGUAAUGAUUAAAAGAGACAAAAGGGGGCAUUUGUACUGUGACGCUAGAGGUGAAAUUCUUGGACCGUCACAAGACAAACAACUGCGAAAGCAUUUGCCAAGGAUGUUUUCAUUAAUCAAGAACGAAAGUUAGAGGUUCGAAGGCGAUCAGAUACCGCCCUAGUUCUAACCAUAAACGAUGCUAACCAGCAAUCCGCCGGCGUUAUUCCCAUGACCCGGCGGGCAGCUUCCGGGAAACCAAAGUCUUUGAGCUCUGGGGGAAGUAUGGUUGCAAAGCUGAAACUUAAAGGAAUUGACGGAAGGGCACCACCAGGAGUGGAGCCUGCGGCUUAAUUUGACUCAACACGGGGAACCUCACCAGGCCCAGACACUGGAAGGAUUGACAGAUUGAGAGCUCUUUCUUGAUUCAGUGGGUGGUGGUGCAUGGCCGUUCUUAGUUGGU